GAUGAACGCUGGCGGCGUGCCUAAUACAUGCAAGUCGAGCGAACGGACGAGAAGCUUGCGUCUCUGAUGUUAGCGGCGGACGGGUGAGUAACACGUGGAUAACCUACCUAUAAGACUGGUAUAACUUCGGGAAACCGGAGCUAACACCGGAUGAUAUUUUGAACCGCAUGGUUCAAAAGUGAAAUACGGUCUUGCGGUCACUUAUAGAUGGAUCCGCGCUGCAUUAGAUAGUUGUUAAGGUAACGGCUUACCAAGGCAACGAUGCAUAGACGACCUGAGAGGGUGAUAGCCCACCCGGGAGCGGAGACAGGGUCAAGGGUCCUAAGGGAGGGCGCAGUAGCGAACGUUACGCAGUGGGCGAGAGCCUGGCGGAGCAGCGCCGAGCCAGAGGUAGCGAUGCUCGGUUCGUAAUAACCUCUUAUUGGGGAAGAACAUAUGUCUCCGUAACUGAGGAGAUCUUGACGGUACCUAAUCAAAAAGCACCGGCUAACUACGUG
rnacentral:rRNA from 1 species